rnacentral:rRNA from 1 species
UACGAAGGGGGCUAGCGUUGCUCGGAAUCACUGGGCGUAAAGCGCACGUAGGCGGAUUGUUAAGUCAGGGGUGAAAUCCUGGAGCUCAACUCCAGAACUGCCUUUGAUACUGGCGAUCUUGAGUCCGGGAGAGGUGAGUGGAAUUCCUGGUGUAGCGGUGAAAUGCGUAGAUAUCAGGAGGAACACCUGUGGCGAAAGCGGCUCACUGGACCAUAACUGACGCUGAGGCACGAAAGCGUGGGGAGCAAACGGG